rnacentral:sRNA from 1 species
CGCCGUCGCCCUUCCUGGGCGUUUCCUCCCUAGACUUGGCCGCCUUCGGGCGGCCUUUUUUUUGUGCGUU